CUGUCCCCAUCACAGGACCUGUCCCCAGGACCUGUCCCCAUCCCCAGGACCUGUCCCCAUCACAGGACCUGUCAAACACAGGCACGGGGCAAAGGCGGGGCUGGCCCCAAACCAAAGCUUUCUCUUCUCUCCUCUGGCAGAUCACCAGCUCUGCUCGUAAGAGGAGAAAGCCAGCUCCAAGGAAAAAGAAAGGUUUAUUAUUAGCCCAAAGGCCACAGUUGAAAUGAAAGGGAGCAGCUGCUCCAGACUUCACCCCUGGAGAAGGGGCUGGAGCAGCUCGGGGCUGCCUGAACAUCCCUGGGACAGAGCACAGAGCUCACACACCUCACCCCACACCGGAAAACGGCAGCAAACGGAGCUUGUCUCCACGUCCAGUGAAUAAUUCACCCAGGGCAAGGCAGCAGCAGCAGAACACGAGAGAAACCCCCAGAGACAAGCGGGAGCUGGGAGGUGACUCCGCUGCCAGGGAAAACCUUGGCUCAAGCCUUUCUUCCCAGGGGAGCAGGCAGCACCUCCCAGCUCCUGCCGGAUCCUCACCCUCAGGGGUUUAACCCAGGGCCUGGGGCAGGGCUGGGGACCGACACAACCUUUGGAUGUGAAAACAUCGAGCCUGGCAGCAGAAAACCAACUCUGGCUCUGAGACAGCCAGGAGCAAUCCAGGGUGUCAGAAUCGCUCCUCUGACUGCAGACACAGAUACACCACACAGAGAUUUGUACACUCCUGACUGGAUCUGUAUGUGUGCUGUGGGAAAUACAUACAUUCAAUAUUAAUAAAAAGUACAAAUACACAAUAUACCGAUUGUUAUAUAACUUAAAAAAAUUAUAUAAUGCAUUAAAAAUUGAGAAGCUGCUUGAAUAGAAAUAAAAAAGGAGAAGUUACAAGAUUAAAAUAACUGCUUUAAACUCUCUGUUGCAAACCUGGAAUAAUCACAGACUGCCAAACCAACCAGAGGGAGAAGGAAGAAAGGUUGUGCCACAACCCAGCAGAGCAGGGGAGUUAAGAGGCACCGCUCGCUCCAGGGGAAUCCAGGGAGGAAAGAGAUCCCUGGAUGUGACAAACUGCUCAACAGCAGCAGUGGGGUGGGCAAAAAGGGGCUGAAAAACAACUCAGUGGAAAGGUACAAGGCGAGGAAAACCCAGAGGGCGAGGACACUGAGGCCCAGGCUGUUAUCAGGAGAACAGCAGAAGCCAAACUGUUAUCAG